rnacentral:misc_RNA from 1 species
AGAGCCUACCAUGGUCCAAGUCAGUCCAAAGAGAGAAAAGAACAUGUAUAGAAGGUCUGUGGCAACAGUGCACGAAGACACAGGUGAUUGAUAGAUUCUGGGUUGCACAAGCACAUGUAGUGUCUAUUUGCUAUAUGGAACUUCCUCCUCUUAAGAUUAUCCCGACCCAGCUGAAAGAGAUGGUUUUUGGAGGCAUCGUACUUCUCAGCCUUCCUCCUCACAGUUUGGGCGUUAAACUUUCAUCUGUCUCCAUUUGGCCGCGUGGAGGUGAUGACAUCAAUGCUUAACUCCGCCGCUGAGACUUUCGACGGUGAAUUUGAAAUUUUCCGGUAAGGGUUCUUGUCCAAUGAAACACUUCAAACUCUCCGUCGA